rnacentral:rRNA from 1 species
ACUCCUACGGGAGGCAGCAGUGGGGAAUAUUGCACAAUGGGGAAACCCUGAUGCAGCCAUGCCGCGUGUGUGAAGAAGGCCUCGGUUGUAAGCACUUCAGUAGGGAGGAAGGUAGUGUAGUUAACACCUGCACUAUUUGACGUUACCUACAGAAGAAGCACCGGCUAACUCCGUGCCAGCAGCCGCGGUAAUACGGAGGGGUGCGAGCGUUAAUCGGAAUUACUGGGCGUAAAGCGCAUGCAGGCGGCCUGUUAAGUCAGAUGUGAAAGCCCGGGGGCUUAACCUCGGAAUUGCAUUUGAAACUGGCAGGCUAGAGUCUUGUAGAGGGGGUAGAAUUUCAGGUGUAGCGGUGAAAUGCGUAGAGAUCUGAAGGAAUACCAGUGGCGAAGGCGGCCCCCUGGACAAAGACUGACGCUCAGAUGCGAAAGCGUGGGGAGCAAACAGGAUUAGAUACCCUGGUAGCACAGAG